rnacentral:rRNA from 1 species
UACGUAGGGGGGCAAGCGUUGUCCGGAUUUAUUGGGCGUAAAGAGCGUGUAGGCGGCCAUGCAGGUCCGUUGUGAAAACUCGAGGCUCAACCUCGAGACGCCGGUGGAAACCGUAUGGCUAGAGUCCGGAAGAGGAGAGUGGAAUUCCUGGUGUAGCGGUGAAAUGCGCAGAUAUCAGGAAGAACACCCGUGGCGAAGGCGGCUCUCUGGGAGCGUGACUGACGCUGAGACGCGAAAGCGUGGGGAGCAAACAGG